rnacentral:rRNA from 1 species
UUCUUUUAGGGUAAAUAAAAAGUAAAGCCUGCCCACUGAUUAUUGAAGGGCCGCGGUAUUAUGACCGUGCUAAGGUAGCAUAAUCAUUAGUCCCCUAAUUAGGGAAUUGUAUGAAUGGCUAAAUUCGGAGUAGUUGUAUUUUUUAUAAUUUAUCAAACUUUUGUUUUAUUUGAAAAUUAAUAAUUAAGGUAAGAAGACGAUAAGACCCUAUAGAGCUUAAUACUUAGUAGUUUAAAAGUUUAUGGGGGAUAAACUUUUAAACUACUAAGUAUUUAGUUGGGGCAACUAAAGAAUAAUUGUAACUUCUUUAAAUUAAUUGAUCUUAAUUUUUAAAAUUUAAAAAGUUACCUUAGGGAUAACAGCGUUAUAAUUUUUAAGAGUUCUUAUCGACAAAAUUGUUUGCGACCUCGAUGUUGAAUUAAAAAUUCUUUAAGGAGCAGUAUUUUUAUAAGAUAGUCUGUUCGACUAUAAAAUUUUU